ACGUGGGGCGGCCGCGGGUGCGCUGCCAUGUUGGAGGGAGCGGCGGCGGGGAUGGUCCGCGCCGCCCCCCGGUAUCGCCCCGUCUUUCACCCCCUUUACUUCCAGGGGCGCUCCCGCGUGUCCAGGCGGUGCCAAGCUGUCAGAAGAGCCAGCUGCGUGCCCAGGGCACGGCCAGCCACUCCGAAAGGGACAGUCCUGCAACUGACAGGAAGGUUUCCACCUCCAUCUACCUCUUCCUUCAACUUCACUAUUUAUUUAUUUAUUUUUUUAAUGCCCAGAAUCCUUCAAGGCUAUGAAAAUAAUCAGCCCUGUGCAUGCCCUGAGCAGGGAAAACACAGUCUUCCAAAUAAGCUUGUACUGUGACUUCCGCAGCACAGUACCCAUCCUCAAUGGGAACACUAGGCACAGCUCUAACGGACACGAUAACGAAGAACUGGCCCUGUAAUGCCAGAGCAUGGAAUCACUCCCACUUUCUGGAUUACUUGUGUGUCAGAUGUAAAGACUUACAGUCACUUUUUAUCAACAGAAGACCAGGAAGACCCAGAAAACAGUCUAUAAAAUGUACAACAGAUUCUGUGAGUGGAAGACCGGGGUAAUGGAUUGCCUUCAAGUUUACACAUGAAAAAUUCCUCAUUAAAUUGAAAACAUACGGAAGAAA